rnacentral:rRNA from 1 species
CCUACGGGUGGCUGCAGUGGGGAAUAUAGGACAAUGGGGGGAACCCUGAUCCAGCCAUGCCGCGUGUGUGAAGAAGGCCCUCGGGUUGUAAAGCACUUUCAGUGAGGAAGAACGCCUGGUGGUUAAUACCCAUCAGGAAAGACAUCACUCACAGAAGAAGCACCGGCUAACUCCGUGCCAGCAGCCGCGGUAAUACGGAGGGUGCGAGCGUUAAUCGGAAUUACUGGGCGUAAAGCGCGCGUAGGUGGCUUGAUAAGCCGGUUGUGAAAGCCCCGGGCUCAACCUGGGAACGGCAUCCGGAACUGUCAAGCUAGAGUGCAGGAGAGGAAGGUAGAAUUCCCGGUGUAGCGGUGAAAUGCGUAGAGAUCGGGAGGAAUACCAGUGGCGAAGGCGGCCUUCUGGACUGACACUGACACUGAGGUGCGAAAGCGUGGGUAGCAAACAGGAUUAGAUACCCCUGUAGUC